CGGGCGUCCCCGCUCCGCGGGGUCCGCUCGCGCGCCCUCCCCGCGUUGGCCCCGGCUC
rnacentral:miRNA from 1 species